rnacentral:rRNA from 1 species
AUGGAACACAAAAUACCAAAAAAAUUAGGUGUACUUGCUACUCAUGGAGAUGGGGUAACUCCUAAAACCCUCGAUUCUCAUUAUGUGAAAGAUAUUAUGUACUACUUUGAUAAUCCUGAGAAAACCCCAUUCAACUUUAUAAUGGGAGACACGUUGGAUCAACGUGAAUACUUUAAGGAUUAUCUCUUUACACAAAAAGGGAAACUAUUAUGGGAUCAAUUUAUUAUGUUGCAUUGGUAUGCUCGGGAUCUAUGCUUGAGAUAUGAUAUUACUUGUUGCUCUAGGAUGAAGGCUCCACACCUUCCCUUUUCAUGCAAAUUUAAUGAUAAUGAAACUUAG